AGUGAACGCUGGCGGUAGGCCUAACACAUGCAAGUCGAACGGCAGCACAGUAAGAGCUUGCUCUUACGGGUGGCGAGUGGCGGACGGGUGAGGAAUACAUCGGAAUCUACUUUUUCGUGGGGGAUAACGUAGGGAAACUUACGCUAAUACCGCAUACGACCUACGGGUGAAAGCAGGGGAUCUUCGGACCUUGCGCGAUUGAAUGAGCCGAUGUCGGAUUAGCUAGUUGGCGGGGUAAAGGCCCACCAAGGCGACGAUCCGUAGCUGGUCUGAGAGGAUGAUCAGCCACACUGGAACUGAGACACGGUCCAGACUACUACGGGAGGCAGCAGUGGGGAAUAUUGGACAAUGGGCGCAAGCCUGGUCCAGCCAUACCGCGUGGGUGAAGAAGGCCUUCGGGUUGUAAAGCCCUUUUGUUGGGAAAGAAAAGCAGCAGGUUAAUACCCCGCUGUUCUGACGGUACCCAAAGAAUAAGCACCGGCUAACUUCGUG
rnacentral:rRNA from 1 species